rnacentral:rRNA from 1 species
UACGGAGGGUGCAAACGUUGCUCGGAAUCAUUGGGCGUAAAGCGCACGUAGGUGGUCUGUUAAGUCUGAUGUGAAAGCCCUGGGCUCAACCCAGGAAGUGCAUCGGAAACUGGCAGGCUUGAGUAUGGAAGAGGGUCGCGGAAUUCCCGGUGUAGAGGUGAAAUUCGUAGAUAUCAGGAAGAACACCAAUGGCGAAGGCAGCUCUCUGGUCCGGUACUGACGCUGAUGUGCGAAAGCGUGGGGAGCAAACAGG